CUACCCGGUCGUUCAACGGUAGUUAAAUCGCUACCACCAUCUCCGUCACUAUCGUAGAACGAAUCUGAGGACGGAUGCUCCUGCAAUGUAUCAUGCAUCGGUUCUGACGGAAAGGGAGCUGGCCGAGCGAGGCAUAUCUUGGACGCUCAGAGUUUCAGCUUCUUGUAACCACUCGUCAACGUUCACUGCAGAAACAAUAAAUACGCAACAAUCGUAUCGAUUAAUUGAUGCGAUUUACCAUA